CCCUAUGUUGUCCAUCAGCCACCCUACUUACCUGCUGCAGCCCCAAUUUCAGCCACAAAAGUCAGCCUUGAGCCAUGCUUUUGUGCAGGCAGUCCAAUCUCCAUCUUUCUAUCAUAACUAAACAUACUUAGGCCAUUUCUUCUUGGCAGUUCCCACCAUUUCAGACUCUCUUUGGCGUACAGAAUCCAGCGACUGCAAUCAAGUAAAUCAAAGCAGCCACCCAUCUGUGUUUCAACAACUGGAAACUCUUAAAGGCUUUGAACGUCAGGAGGACUAGCACUGCUAUUCCGAUUCAGAGAUAACGUUAAACGACAGGCAUUGCCUAUACAGGUUAAUGGCGGGUGAUGACGGGGCAGAGCUGAGGCUAGAGUUCAACUCCUUAUUUUGAUUUCCGCUGCAGAACUAGCCAGUAUCUGUCUUUUGUUUCUUAACUUAAGACCUAUUAUGUUGUGAUUCUAAACAAUAUUUUUUGUUGAGCCUAAACUAUUGACUCUCAAAGUAUUUCAAUCAGUGAAUGUUGGUUAUCUGAAGCAUGACACUAAACUUGUGAUCCUGAAGUUGUUAUGUUUGUUGAUUGAUUCGUAUCACUUGAAUACCUGUCUUUCUUCAUCCAAAGGGGCUAAGCCCGAUUGUUAUCCCUUUUAUUCGGAUUUCACAAGGAUUUUCCCUU